UGCCCAGCAACUCCUAUCCCUACCUCCUCGCGGUACUCGCCGUGGUACGAGUAACCUUAGGGAAGAUCGGGUAACCAACCCCCGGUGGGAACUUUGGUCGUAUGCUGACAGGGAAGG
rfam:Aedes aegypti strain Liverpool supercont1.389 genomic scaffold, whole genome shotgun sequence.